UUGGAAUGAGUACAAUUUAAAUCYCUUAACGAGGAACAAUUGGAGGGCAAGUCUGGUGCCAGCAGCCGCGGUAAUUCCAGCUCCAAUAGCGUAUAUUAAAGUUGUURCAGUUAAAAAGCUCGUAGUUGAACUUCAGGCCUGGCUGGGCGGUCUGCUUAACGGCAUGUACUGUCUGGCUGGGUCUUACCUCUUGGUGAGCCGGUGUGCCCUUUAUUGGUGUGCAUUGGGGAACCAGGACUUUUACCUUGAGAAAAUUAGAGUGUUCAAAGCAGGCCUAUGCCCGAAUACAUUAGCAUGGAAUAAUAAAAUAGGACGUGCGGUUCUAUUUUGUUGGUUUCUAGAGUCGCCGUAAUGAUUAAUAGGGAUAGUUGGGGGCAUUGGUAUUGAGUCGCUAGAGGUGAAAUUCUUGGAUUGACUCAAGACCAACUAUUGCGAAAGCAUUUGCCAAGGAUGUUUUCAUUAAUCAAGAACGAAGGUUAGGGGAUCGAAAACGAUUAGAUACCGUUGUAGUCUUAACAGUAAACUAUGCCGACUAGGGAUCGGGCAACCUCAAUUUUGAUGUGUUGCUCGGCACCUUACGAGAAAUCAAAGUCUUUGGGUUCUGGGGAGAGUAUGGUCGCAAGGCUGAAACUUAAA
rnacentral:rRNA from 1 species